AACGCACGAGACCUGCGGACCUGCGGAGGGAUCAUUAGUGAACGCCCUCACGGGCUUAUAACUAUUCCAAACCUCUGUGAACCGUGCCCUUCGGGGCUAUUUUACGAACAUGGUGUAAUGAACGUCAUAUAUCAUAACAAAACAAAACUUUCAGCAACGGAUCUCU
rnacentral:misc_RNA from 1 species